rnacentral:rRNA from 1 species
AUUGAACGCUGGCGGCAUGCCUUACACAUGCAAGUCGAACGGCAGCACGGGGCAACCUGGUGGCGAGUGGCGAACGGGUGAGUAAUGCAUCGGAACGUACCUUUCAGUGGGGGAUAACGUAGCGAAAGUUACGCUAAUACCGCAUAUUCUGUGAGCAGGAAAGCAGGGGAUCGCAAGACCUUGCGCUGAUUGAGCGGCCGAUGUCAGAUUAGCUAGUUGGUGAGGUAAAGGCUCACCAAGGCGACGAUCUGUAGCGGGUCUGAGAGGAUGAUCCGCCACACUGGAACUGAGACAGGGUCCAGACUCCUACGGGAGGCAGCAGUGGGGAAUUUUGGAGAAUGGGGGCAACCCUGAUCCAGCCAUGCCGCGUGAGCGAAGAAGGCCUUCGGGUUGUAAAGCUCUUUCGGCCGGGAAGAAAUCGCACGGGCUAAUACCCUGUGUGGAUGACGGUACCGGAAUAAGAAGCACCGGCUAACUACGUGCCAGCCGCCGCAGUAAAAC